GCUAGGUGCCGAGGACCCUUCUAUGAAUAGGAGAACACAAUUUAGGAAUAAUGCAAGGAGCAACAAAGAAGAAAAUAAUACGCUCUGUCUCAAUCAUCUGCUGGUCCAGCUGAUUUUGGAAUGAUCUCGAAGAUGGCAGAGGGACAGAUUUCUGAGAAUCUCAUGAGAAGUUUUCACAUAGAGAGACCAUUUGUUUCUUUGAAGCCAUGCUCUUCUUGAUAAAUGACCUUUGGAAUGACUUAAUCCCUUUUGUAUCCAUGAUCUACG
rnacentral:lncRNA from 1 species